UCCCUGGCGGUCCAGUGGUUAGGACUCGGCACUUUUACUGCCGUGGACCCGGGUUCAAUCCUCGGUCAGGGAG